rnacentral:rRNA from 1 species
GACGAACGCUGGCGGCGUGCUUAACACAUGCAAGUCGAACGGAAAGGCUCCAGCUUGCUGGAGUACUCGAGUGGCGAACGGGUGAGUAACACGUGGGUAAUCUGCCCUGCACUCUGGGAUAAACCUGGGAAACUGGGUCUAAUACUGGAUAUGACCUUUCUCCUUAUGGGGUUUGGUGGAAAGUUUUUCGGUGUAGGAUGAGCCCGCGGCCUAUCAGCUUGUUGGUGGGGUGAUGGCCUACCAAGGCGACGACGGGUAGCCGGCCUGAGAGGGUGAUCGGCCACAUUGGGACUGAGAUACGGCCCAGACUCCUACGGGAGGCAGCAGUGGGGAAUAUUGCACAAUGGGCGGAAGCCUGAUGCAGCGACGCCGCGUGAGGGAUGACGGCCUUCGGGUUGUAAACCUCUUUCAGCAGGGACGAAGCGUAAGUGACGGUACCUGCAGAAGAAGCACCGGCUAACUAUGUG